GAACUCUGAAGGCAUUUUCCCAUGGAAACACUGUUACACAUUCUAUGGUACUAUUAACAGUUCUUGAAGACAGUGUGGUAUAAUGGAGGGCGCUCUGAAGAUGGGAGUCAAGACACUCAAGUUUAAAUCCAGAUUCUGAUUGUGACUAGCUGUAUAACCCUGAAAUGAAGAGCUGGGUCUGCUGAGGAAGAAGCAGGUGCUUAUAAUCCAAGGAAUCAUGGGUGACUUUAUUAUGAGUUAACUCUGAAGAAAGAAGAAAUGAACAACAGUUAUUGGUGCCUCCCUGAUAUAGGGUACUAGGGCAGCUAUUUAGGGAUUUGGCAUUAACAGAGAUCUGUGAGAUCUUUCCAAGGGUAUAUAUCUAGAAGAAGCUCUCAAAAUUUGUCAAACUUGUACAUACACUUUUGGUGACUUACAUAGAUGCAAAUAAUAUUUCCCAGAGAAUUCUAGAAAACAUCACCUGGGAUAAUUAAUGGGAAAUAAACUAAAGACUUUGGAGUA